CUUUAAUGAAUUAGUGCUGAGUUACACUUUGCAUUUGUCUUUUAGAAUUUUUCUUAUCCUGCAUCCACCCUGAUUUUCUGACAUUAAUGCAUUUGACAAUGCACACAUAAUAGUUACAUUACAAAUCAGUAUUUGAAGAUGGCUGAAUUUACAGUUGAGGCCAUCGGUUUAUGUACACCGUGGCUAAAAUUAUUAAGAGUGUCUGCUUUACUUCCAAUGGAGUUUGUAUCCAAAAUAAUAAUUUAAGAGGCAGAUUUAUUUUAAGUUUUUUUUCUGCUUCAUCAAAACUUUGCAUGUGCUAGUAUUUGGUCACACUGCCUUUUAAUUUCUUCACUAGACUCAAAUCAUAUGGGUCGGAUAGACUUCUGCUAGCUCUAGACUACACAA